AAACAGUAAGCUAUACAGUGAUGACAAAUGGGGGAACAACUGAACCAAUUAAAGAUGCUAAAGGCCUCAGACAAGGAGAUCCAGUAUCCCCAUUCUUAUUUGCAAUAGUCAUGGAGUAUCUUAGCAGGUCACUGGCUGAAUUAAGGAAUGAUCAAGCUUUUCUAUAUCAUCCGGGAUGUAAAAAGUUGGGCAUUACUCACAUAAGAUUUGCUGAUGACCUACUCUUAUUUGCUAAAGGAGAAAUCAAGUCUGUCAUUACCAUGUUCCCAUACUUUUCCCAAUUCACUGAAGCCUCAGGACUGAAAGCUAAUCUGGGCAAAAGCUCAGUAUAGCAAGUCUGUCAUUACCAUGUUCCAGUACUUUUCCCUAUUCACUGAAGCCUCAGGACUGAAAGCUAAUCUGGGCAAAAGCUCAGUAUACUUUGGAGGGGUUA
rnacentral:lncRNA from 1 species